CACACACACACGUUUCCAUAGCGAGAGGUUCCACUUUGCAUUAUGAGCUCAUGCUUCAGUGCUCUGUGAGUGUUUAUAGCCCUGUGACUUUAACACUUCAUGACUGAGAGCUGCUGCUCAGCGACUUCACCCACAGAAACCAUGAGUUUGAUCAGCGUCUUCAUCUGCACACUGCUCCUCUGUGCUCAAGGAUCCCAAAGUCAGGCCAUUGUGACUCAGAGUCCUGCAGUGAAAUCUGUUUCUCCAGGAGACACAAUCACCAUCAGCUGUAAAACCAAUGAACUGAUUUCACUCUGACCAUCAGUGGAGUUCAGACUGAAGAUACUGGAGAUUAUUACUGUCUAACUGAUCAUUACAACACAUUUAAAACUUCAAGGUUCACACAGUGUUAG